rnacentral:ncRNA from 10 species
AUCUUGCAUGAAGAGAGGGUAACCUCAGCAACCUAGAAAGCAAACAAAGGUGCUAGAGAUGCGGUUUUUUAAAACAAAAAAUAUGCUACC